rnacentral:rRNA from 1 species
CCCGCACAAGCGGUGGAGCAUGUGGUUUAAUUCGAUGCAACGCGAAGAACCUUACCUGGGCUUGACAUCCGAGAAUCCCCCUGGAAACAGGGGAGUGCCUUUCGGGGAACUCGGAGACAGGUGCUGCAUGGCUGUCGUCAGCUCGUGUCGUGAGAUGUUGGGUUAAGUCCCGCAACGAGCGCAACCCUUGUCUUUAAUUGCCAGCAUUCAGUUGGGCACUUUAAAGAGACUGCCGGUGUUAAGCCGGAGGAAGGUGGGGAUGACGUCAAGUCCUCAUGGCCUUUAUGCCCAGGGCUACACACGUGCUACAAUGGGUGGUACAAAGGGCUGCGAAGCCGCGAGGUGGAGCGAAUCCCAGAAAACCUGUCUCAGUCCGGAUUGAAGUCUGCAACUCGACUUCAUGAAGGCGGAAUCGCUAGUAACCGCGAAUCAGCAGGUCGCGGUGAAUACGUUCCCGGGCCUU